UACGAAGGGGGCUAGCGUUGCUCGGAAUGACUGGGCGUAAAGGGCGCGUAGGCGGUUCCGCAAGUCCUGUGUGAAAUCUUCGGGCUCAACUCGAAGUCUGCACGGGAAACUGCGGGGCUUGAGUGUGGGAGAGGUGAGUGGAAUUCCCGGUGUAGCGGUGAAAUGCGUAGAUAUCAAGUGGAACACCAGUGGCGAAGGCGAGUCUCUGGACAUUUCCUGACGCUGAGGCACGAAAGCCAGGGGAGCAAACGGG
rnacentral:rRNA from 1 species